AAACUUUCAACAACGGAUCUCUAGGCUCUUGCAUCGAUGAAGAACGUAGAGAUUGCGAUAAGUAGUGUGACUUGCAGUUUCAGUGAAUCAUCGAAUUUUUGAACGCACAUUGCGCCCUAUGGUAUUCCGUAGGGCAUAUCUGUCUGAGCGUUAUU
rnacentral:rRNA from 1 species